UACGUAGGGACCAAGCGUUGUUCGGAUUUACUGGGCGUAAAGGGCGCGUAGGCGGCUUAACAAGUCACUUGUGAAAUCUCCGGGCUUAACUCGGAACGGCCAAGUGAAACUGUCAAGCUAGAGUGCAGAAGGGGCAAUCGGAAUUCUUGGUGUAGCGGUGAAAUGCGUAGAUAUCAGGAGGAACACCGGUGGCGAAGGCGGAACUCUGGGCCGGAACUGACGCUGAGAAGCGAAAGCAUGGGGAGCGAACAGG
rnacentral:rRNA from 1 species